UGGGCAACCUGCCCUCAGCACUGGGAUAACCCCGGGAAACCGGGGCUAAUACCGGAUACGACCUCGGCGGGCAUCCGCUGAGGUGGAAAGUGCAGUGGCUGAGGAUGGGCCCGCGGCCUAUCAGCUUGUUGGUGGGGUAACGGCCUACCAAGGCGACGACGGGUAGCCGGCCUGAGGGGGCGACCGGCCACACUGGGACUGAGACACGGCCCAGACUCCUACGGGAGGCA
rnacentral:rRNA from 1 species